UCGGCUUAGAGUUUGAUCCUGGCUCAGAUUGAACGCUGGCGGCAGGCUUAACACAUGCAAGUCGAACGGUAAAGUAGCUUGCUACUUACGAGUGGCGGACGGGUGAGUAACGUAUGGGAAUUUACCGAAUGGAGGGGGACAACAGUUGGAAACGGCUGCUAAUACCGCAUAACGUCGAGAGGCCAAAGGGUUUCGACUUGCCAUUUGAUGAGCCCAUAUGAGAUUAGCUAGUUGGUGUGGUAAUGGCUCACCAAGGCGACGAUCUCUAGCUGGUUUGAGAGGAUGACCAGCCACACUGGGACUGAGACACGGCCCAGACUCCUACGGGAGGCAGCAGUGGGGAAUAUUGCACAAUGGGGGGAACCCUGAUGCAGCCAUGCCGCGUGUAUGAAGAAGGCCUUAGGGU
rnacentral:rRNA from 1 species